UACAGAGGUCUCAAGCGUUGUUCGGAUUCAUUGGGCGUAAAGGGUGCGUAGGCGGCGCGGUAAGUCGGGUGUGAAAUCUUGGAGCUUAACUCCGAAACUGCAUUCGAUACUGCCGUGCUUGAGGACUGGAGAGGAGACUGGAAUUUACGGUGUAGCGGUGGAAUGCGUAGAUAUCGUAAGGAAGACCAGUGGCGAAGGCGGGUCUCUGGACAGUUCCUGACACUGAGACACGAAGGCCAGGGGAGCAAACGGG
rnacentral:rRNA from 1 species